UUGCAUAAAUAUGUAUAUGUAUAUGUGAUCUGUUGCAUUCUUCUGCUAUCAUCAAUUUAUGGCUGUUUAAUCUUGUCUAGUUUUUUGAAAAUUUCCCAUCUUUUUAUGUAUUUUUAAUAUUUGGAGAGAACGUUCGAUUAGAUUUGAUCAGUGAAUUUGAGCUGAUAUUUCUUCUGACUGAAUUGGAGUGAAGAAAUGCGACGAGUGAACGGAAUAGGAGGCGAGAGGAGGGCCGGAGGAGUUAAUAAUACUCUCGAGACAAUAAACGCAGCUGCAAAUGCGAUCGCGGCGGCGGAGAAUCGUGUGCCUCAAGUUGGUGUUCAGAAAAGAAGAUGGGCUAGCUGCUGGAGCUUAUAUUGGUGUUUUGGAUCUCAUAAACACACCACGCGCAUUGGACACGCUGUUCUUGUUCCUGAACCUAUAGCUCCAAGGGCCGAUCCUCCUGCGGUUGAAAAUCAAACUCAAGCACCUUCUGUGGCACUCCCUUUCAUUGCACCUCCCUCCUCUCCUGCUUCUUUCCUUCAGUCAGAACCUCCAUCUGCAACUCAAUCACCACCUGGCCUACUGUCCCUCACAUCUAUGUCUGCAAGCAUGUAUUCCCCUGGUGGGCCUGCCUCAAUGUUUGCUAUUGGCCCCUACGCCCAUGAGACACAAUUAGUUACUCCACCUGUUUUCUCAACCUUUACAACCGAACCAUCUACUGCUCCCUUUACUCCGCCACCAGAGUCUGUCCACAUGACUACUCCAUCUUCACCUGAGGUGCCAUUUGCUCGGCUACUUGACCCAAUAGACCAAAAUUGUGAAGAUGGUCAGAGAUAUCCUUUGCCUCAAUAUGAAUUUCAAUCGUAUCAGCUUCAACCUGGAAGCCCUGUCAGCCACCUAAUCUCGCCCAGCUCAGGCAUCUCUGGUUCAGGUACUUCAUCUCCUUUCCCUGAUGGUGAGUUUGUUUAUGGACGGCCCCACUUCCUAGAGUUCAGAAGUGGUGAUCCUCCCAAGCUUUUGAACCUUGAAAAGAUUGCACCUCAUGAAUGGGGUUCUCGGCAAGGAUCUGGUACUAUCACGCCCGAUACUGUGGCACCUAGAUAUCGCAAUGGGUUUCUUCUGGAUAAUCAGAAAUCUGAUGCUUCUACAGUUUCAAAUUCAUAUAACGUCACGAGAGUUGAUGAAACUGCUGUUGAUCACCGAGUUUCCUUUGAGAUAACUGCAGAAGAAGUUGUUAGAUGUGUUGAAAAGACGCCAGCAGUCUUUCCCAAGGCCGUAUUAGCAACUACUCCAUCGAAUACUGAAUGUGUGGUUAAAACAGAGGAUAAUCCAAAGGAAAUGGCAAAUGGACAUGAAGGCUGUGCUAGCGAAGCCUCAAGAAUUGGUUCUGGUAGAGCUUCUGUAGAUGGCGAUGGUGGCCAGUGGCAUCAGAAGCAGCGAACAAUAACCCUUGGCUCUGCAAAAGAAUUCAACUUUGACAGUGUUGAUGAAGGGAAUUCUGAUACACCUAAUAUUGGAUCUGACUGGUGGGCCAAUGAGAAAGUUAUGGGGAAGGAUGGUGUGGCAGGCAAAAGCUGGACUUUUUUCCCUGUGAUGCAGCCAGGAGUCAGCUAAUGGCUGCAUUGGGUUUUACACCUGUGCAACAAGCUUGUUGCAUGGCUUGAUUCUCUGAAGUCUGAACCCAGCCAGCAAGGAGCAGAACAAAUGGUUGAGCUUUACAAGGUUCUGAUGUUGAUGAUACAUGGCAGCACUGACCAAAAAAUGGAGGCUGUUUUUUGCACAUUUCUGACCGUAGAAAUGAGUGAAGUGUUCUAAUCUUAUUUCAUCUGGAAACUUUGGAGGAUACUACUGUGCUUACCUGAAUAUGUUCGUCAAGCUCCAUAUCCUGUCAGAAUGGAAGUGAGGCUGCCAAUUCUUGUCCUAGCUCAUCAGUUACUGAAGCAGUCUCGAUGCAUAAUCAUUGAGUUCCUCAGUUGCCUGGACUUGUGCCGACAUUAGGUGAGUUGCUUAGCUCCAAGCGCUCAUGCCAACUGUUUGGACUCUUGGGGUUUGUAUUUUACCCUGAACAACAUCAUCGACCCUAGAAUUAAUUGGCUUGUCACGUUGCAAGAUCCAAAUUUUAAAUCAUGUUAUAGUUGCUGCAAUUUGACAUUGUCAAAUUUUUAUUUUUUUUUUGCGUGUCAACAAAUUGACAAUAAUGUUCUCUUUGUAAAUGAAUCUUACUGUGCUUGACCAUAUAGGAGAGAUGAGUUAAAGCCGGCACCAUGGCGAUGUCUCACCAUGGCCAGCA